rnacentral:rRNA from 1 species
UACGUAGGGACCAAGCGUUGUUCGGAUUUACUGGGCGUAAAGAGCGCGCAGGCGGUCGUACAAGUCGCGUGUGAAAGCCCCCGGCUCAACUGGGGAGGGUCACGCGAUACUGUUCGACUCGAAGGCAGGAGAGGGUAGUGGAAUUCCCGGUGUAGUGGUGAAAUGCGUAGAUAUCGGGAGGAACACCAGUGGCGAAGGCGACUACCUGGCCUGUUCUUGACGCUGAGGCGCGAAAGCUAGGGUAGCAAACGGG